UUUCUGACAUUUGAAAAGAUCUGAAGAUACGCCCCUUGGAUGCCUGCAGAGAAGCUCUGGGGCUUCAGUCAAUGACUCAGGGUAGCCACCGAACAUGAUGCUCGGGCAGUGGGUGCCACCUGGACUCCACUCUCCCCUCUCUCUGGGAUCAUAGAGUCCAAGGUGUUCUGUGGCCUCUCGGCCAAUCCCAGCAGCUCAGCGUGCAGAAGACCGAGGAGCCAUUGGAAAAGAAAAAGAGAACAUAUAUCCCCCUACCUUUUGAUUUCCAACAGUCUACUGAGAGGCCAAGAUUAUUUGCAGGGAAAGAAAAGGGGUCAAAAUGUUUUGCCAGUAACUCCCAAAUCAUCUACAGCCAAGGAGAAAAGUGUUUCAAGACAGAGGUGCUCAAUGGUAUCAAAUACUGCCAACAGACCAAGUAAUACAUGCAUUGAAGUGUCUACUGGAUCUAGCUAUAUCACCAGAACAAGGUUAUGGUGGAAAACGCUAGAAAUGAAGAUUUUGUCCCCAGGGAUGGGGGAUACAAGUUACCAAAGUAGUGGCGAGAAAAGGAAUUUUUAAUUUAGGACACUUAGGCCAUACUGAAGCAAGGUGACAAAAUGAAUAGCUACAAUGUCUCGUGAAUCUUGGGUUUCCAUUCACCCUGGUAUUCAAGAGAAAUUCUUGCAUCAUGGAAGUUGCAGUUGGAUAGGACUUUCUCAGCUGAACACUGUCAUCUGCCAGAGCUUCAGGCAAGAACCCAGAACAGAUGAAACCCCAGACAUGACAAAAUAAGCCAAAGAAUACCAGGCCAAGGUGUGAAAGGCCAGAUGAGAACAAGCAGCGUACACGAUUCUGUUGCCAACAGAUCUCCCCUAACAGUGUCGUGCACCAAAUUUCCACAGUGAAUGUCAGGAAAAAAUGGCAAUUGAGGUGGGUGGUCAAAAGAGAAGCACAGUCUAUGAUGAAGUCACCCCAGAGAAGUCCUUUUUCCGUUUUCUCCUGAGAAAUUACCAGAAGAAAUUAAAAUCCUUUUGAGUAUUGCA
ensembl:lncRNA LINC00710 long intergenic non-protein coding RNA 710